rnacentral:rRNA from 1 species
UAGUCCACGCCGUAAACGAUGGAUACUUGGUGUUGGAGGUAUUGACCCCUUCAGUGCCGUAGCUAACGCGUUAAGUAUCCCGCCUGGGGAGUACGGUCGCAAGAUUAAAACUCAAAGAAAUUGACGGGGGCCCGCACAAGCGGUGGAGCAUGUGGUUUAAUUCGAUGCAACGCGAAAAACCUUACCUGGUCUUGACAUCCUUCUGAUUGUUUCUGGAGACAGAAUCGUUCCUUCGGGACAGAAGUGACAGGUGCUGCAUGGCUGUCGUCAGCUCGUGUCGUGAGAUGUUGGGUUAAGUCCCGCAACGAGCGCAACCCUUGUCUUUAGUUGCCAUCAUUAAGUUGGGCACUUUAAAGAGACUGCCGGUGACAAACCGGAGGAAGGUAAGGAUGACGUCAAGUCAGCAUGCCCCUUAUGCUCUGGGCUACACACGUGCUACAAUGGCCGUGACAAAGAGUUGCUACUUUGUGAAAACAAGCUAAUCUCAUAAACGCGGCCUCAGUUCGGAUUGCG